rnacentral:rRNA from 1 species
CACGUAGUUAGCCGGUGCUUCUUUACCCAUUACCGUCACUCGCGCUUCGUCACAGGCGAAAGCGGUUUACAACCCGAAGGCCGUCAUCCCGCACGCGGCGUUGCUGCAUCAGGCUUCCGCCCAUUGUGCAAUAUUCCCCACUGCUGCCUCCCGUAGGAGUCUGGGCCGUAUCUCAGUCCCAAUGUGGCCGGUCACCCUCUCAGGCCGGCUACCCGUCAAAGCCUUGGUAAGCCACUACCCCACCAACAAGCUGAUAAGCCGCGAGUCCAUCCCCAACCGCCGAAACUUUCCAACCCCCACCAUGCAGCAGGAGCUCCUAUCCGGUAUUAGCCCCAGUUUCCUGAAGUUAUCCCAAAGUCAAGGGCAGGUUACUCACGUGUUACUCACCCGUUCGCCACUCGAGCACCCCACAAAAGCAGGGCCUUUCCGUUCGACUUGCAUGUGUUAAGCACGCCGCCAGCGUUCGUCCUGAGCCAGGAUCAAACUCU